rnacentral:pre_miRNA from 1 species
AAAGACUAUAGUUUUGCACUAUUUAUAUCUAACAUUUGAUCAUUCGUCUUAUCUAAAAAAACGUGAUUAGUAUUUUUAUUGUUAUUAGAUGGUAAAACAUAAAUAAUAUUUUAUGUGUGACUAUUUUUUUAAUUUUUUUCAUGAAUUUUCGAAAUAAGACGGACGGUUAAAUAUUGGAUACGGAACAUACAACUACACUUAAA